CCUGGCGGCCUUAGCGCGGUGGUCCCACCUGACCCCAUGCCGAACUCAGAAGUGAAACGCCGUAGCGCCGAUGGUAGUAUGGGGUUUCCCCAUGCGAGAGUAGGGAACUGCCAGGC
rnacentral:rRNA from 1 species